UUUGUAGGUUUGUAAAAAUAAUUUAUUGCACUGAAAUUUAAGAUGACAUUUGUUCAGUAGGCAUAGAAUAGGUGAUAAUACUAUUACUACUACUCAUAAUAAUGUUGGGAAAGUUGUGUCUUUUGUCAUGACAAGUAGCAGAUAAACCAAGAUUUAUAUUUGGCUUGAAAGGGUGUGGAAUGGUGUAAUUUAUAUCUACAGUUGCAAGAAAAAAGUAUGUGAACCCUUUGGAAUGAUAUGGAUUUCUGCACAAAUUGGUCAUAAAAUGUGAUCUGAUCAUCAUCUAAGUAACAACAAUAGACAAUCACAGUCUGCUUAAACUAAUAACACACAAAGAAUGAAAUGUUGCCAUGUUUUUAUUGUACACACCAUGUAAACAUUCACAGUGCAGGUGGAAAAAGUAUGUGAACCCCUAGACUAAUGACAUCUCCAAGAGCUAAUUGGAGUGAGAUGUCAGCCAACUGGAGUCCAAUCAAUGAGAUGAGAUUGGAGGUGUUGGUUAUAGCUGCUCUGCCCUAUAAAAAAAAAACACACACCAGUUCUGGGUUUGCUUUUCACAAGAGGCAUUGCCUAAUGUGAAGGAUGCCUCGCACAAAAGAGCUCUCAGAAGACCUACGAUUAAGAAUUGAUGACUUGCAUAAAGCUGGAAAGGGUUAUAGAAGUAUCUCCAAAAGCCUUACUGUUCAUCAGUCCACAGUAAGACAAAUUGUCUAUGAAUGGAGAAAGUUCAGCACUGUAAAGAUGAUUGCAAGAGCACAGUGCAAACUGCUCAAUGAGGUGAAGAAGAAUCCUAGAGUGUCAGCUAAAGGCUUACAAAAGUCACUGGCAAAUGCUAACAUCCCUGUUAGCGAAUCUACAAUACGUAAAACACUAAACAAGAAUGGAUUUCAUUGGAGGAUACCACAGAGGAAGCCACUGCUGUCCAAACAAAACAUUACUGCACGUUUACAGUUUGCACAAGAGCACCUGGAUGUUCCACAGCAGUACUGGCAAAAUAUUCUGUGGACAGAUGAAACCAAAGUGGAGUUGUUUGGAAGAAACACACAACACUAUGUGUGGCGAAACAAAGGCACAGCACACCAUCAAAACCUCGUCCCAACUUUUAAGUAUGGUGGUGGGGGCAUCAUGGUUUGGGGCUGCUUUGCUGCGUCAGGGCCUGGACGGAUUGCUAUCAUCGAAGGAAAAAUGAAUUCCCAAGUUUAUCAAGACAUUUUGCAGGAGAACUUAAGGCCAUCUGUCUACCAGCUGAAGCUCAACAGAAGAUGGAUGGUGCAACAGGACAAUGACCCAAAGCAUAGAAGUAAAUCAACAGAAUGGCUUAAUCAGAAGAAAAUAUGCCUUCUGAAGUGGCCCAGUCAGAGUCCUGACCUCAACCCGAUUGAGAUGCUGUGGCAUGACCUCAAGAAAGUGAUUCACACCAGACAUCCCAAGAAUAUUGCUGAACUGAAACAGUUCUGUAAAGAGGAAUGGUCAAGAAUUACUCCUGACCGUUGUGCACGUCUGAUCUGCAACUACAGGAAACGUUUGGUUGAAGUUAUUGCUGCCAAAGGAGGUUCAACCAGUUAUUAAAUCCAAGGGUUCACAUACUUUUUCCACCUGCAC